rnacentral:rRNA from 1 species
AGCGAACGCUGGCGGCAGGCCUAACACAUGCAAGUCGAACGAACCUUCCGGGGUUAGUGGCGGACGUGUGGGUAACACGUGGGAACGUGCCCUUAGGUUCGGUAUAACUCAGGUUAACUUGUGUUAAUACCGAUUGUGCCCUUCGGGGGUAAGAUCUAUCGCCUUUAGAGCGGCCUGCGUCUGUUUAGCUGGUUGGGUGAGGAAAUGGCACACCAAGGCGUCGUUCAGUAGCUGGGGUGAGCGGAGGAUUAGCCACAUUGGAGAUAAGACACGGACCAAACUCCUACGGGAGGCAGCAGUAGGGAGUCUUGCGCAAGGAGGGAAAGCGUGACGAAGCCAUGCCGGGUGAAUGAUGAAGGUCUUAGGAAUGUAAAAUUCUUUGACCGGAGGCGAUAAUGACGGUACCCGGAAAAGAAGCCCCGGCUAACUUCGUG